GAAUUUCAAAAUGUAUCUGACACCUAUUUGCUAAGCAGGAUCCAGCAAGAAAACUGUUAUUUAAGCAUGAUACUAUACCAUGAAGACCACAUCUUCCAUGUCACCACUAACUAAGAAAUGCAACUCAUUGGGUUCUCCUGAGGUCAUUCAAAAAGAUGGAGCUCACUCAAUGCACUCAAGUCGAAUUCCUUCACCAAUUGAAUCAGUCUGUGAACUAUAAAAGAAUCAGUGUUGUGGUUUAGAACAUCGUUAUCAGAAAUAGCGGUUUCAUUAGGUAGCACUGGUUACAAAACACCACACGUGACUGCCCUGCAAAAGACAGUUGCUACAUCUGUGUGCCUUAACCCGAGGAAGAGCUCUGUGCAACAAAGGGGAGGUCCAAUAAAAGUUUUUGCCUCACCCAUCUUAUCUUUAAUAUCCUGGAAUCAACAUUGCUACAAUCACUCUUGAAUAAGUGAAACAGAAGCAGCUAUUUAAGACUGUGAAAGCUCAGGCUAAUUAUUACUAUUUCUUUAAACAAUCCUAGAAUUGCAGCAAAGAAGUCACAAAAGCAUCCAUAAUGCCUUUUUGAGUCAAAGCAAAAAGAGUGACCAGCAUUGAAAAGUGGAACAGUGAAACCUGGGGUCUAAGAAUAUAUAAAGUACAUUCCCUAUUGUCUAUAAUAAAUGUAUAAAUUCCACUGCCCUCAAAGCGCAUAGCCCAAAUAGAUCAGGUAGAAUUAAAAGCUCAAUAUUUGGGGAUGGAAAGCAGAAAGACCUGAUUAAAAUGUUCUACAAUAGAAACAAGAUGGGACACUUCCAACUGAAUAGACAAAGCUUCAUAUAAGGCUAUCCAAUGGCUCCAACAUCCUUAAAUAUUAUCCACAAAACGAGAUUAGUGUCCCAAAGCAGAUUUUGGAGAGAAGUACUUUGGCUCACUUCUUGAGGCAUUUCCUCAGUUUUUCCUGUUUCUGUAUGUUACCAUUUCAAAUGUCUGAUUUGUGUCCAUUAAUUCUUUGUGUCACAUUGAUCCUGUGACAUUCUCUAUGAUAAAGGAUUAAUGGACACAAAUUAGAUAUUUAAAAUGGUAACACAGAGAAAACUGUUGGGAAACAUUUUAACUUGCCUGGGGCCCUCACUAAUGGAUCUAAAAGUGACUAUACUGUUACAAAGCAAUUUAAAAAAAAAGCUGGAGUGAAAAGCUGUGGAAUUUGCCUUUAUUUGCAAAUCUGACAUCAAGGUUUAAACAAAGACAUGAUCUGGAUGGGCUGCUACAUUGAACACCCUAAUGACAUCAAAAGCUAAGUAUCUGGCACUCACAGCCCACUCUAUUAGACUCAUUUAACAUGGACAC